rnacentral:rRNA from 1 species
GAUGAACGCUGGCGGCGUGCUUAACACAUGCAAGUCGAACGGUGAAGGCGGAGCUUGCUCUGCUGGAUCAGUGGCGAACGGGUGAGUAACACGUGAGCAAUCUGCCCCUGACGCUGGGAUAAGCGCUGGAAACGGCGUCUACUACUGGAUACGAGCGGCGAAGGCAUCGUCAGCAGCGGGAAAGAACGUCCGUCAGGGAUGGGCUGGCGGCUUAUCAGCUUGUUGGUGAGGUAACGGCUCACCAAGGCGUCGGCGGGUCGCCCGCCUGAGAGCGUGACCGGCCACCAGGCGACUGCGGGACGGAGCAGUCUCCUACGGGGGGCAGCGGUGGGGAGUAUUGCACAGUGGGCGCGAGCCUGAUGCAGCAACGCCCCGAGAGGGACGCACGCUUUCGGGUUGUAAACCUCUUUUAGCUGAGACGAAGCGAUAGUGACGGUACCUGCAGAAAAAGCGCCGGCUAACUACGUG